rnacentral:rRNA from 1 species
GACGAACGCUGGCGGCGUGCCUAAUACAUGCAAGUGGGACGCAAGGAAACACACUGUGCUUGCACACCGUGUUUUCUUGAGUCGCGAACGGGUGAGUAACGCGUAGGUAACCUGCCUAUUAGCGGGGGAUAACUAUUGGAAACGAUAGCUAAUACCGCAUAAUAUUAAUUAUUGCAUGAUAAUUGAUUGAAAGAUGCAAGCGCAUCACUAGUAGAUGGACCUGCGUUGUAUUAGCUAGUUGGUAAGGUAAGAGCUUACCAAGGCGACGAUACAUAGCCGACCUGGGAGGGUGAUCGGCCACACUGGGACUGAGACACGGCCCAGACUCCUACGGGAGGCAGCAGUAGGGAAUCUUCGGCAAUGGACGAAAGUCUGACCGAGCAACGCCGCGUGAGUGAAGAAGGGUUUCGGAUCGUAAAGCUCGGUUGUAAGUCAAGAACGUGUGUGAGAGUGGAAAGUUCACACAGUGACGGUAGCUUACCAGAAAGAGACGGCUAACUACGUG